GGGGCUGACUGGUUUCGACGUUGGGAUCUGGAAGUCACGCUUGCGACCCGAGUUGUCUCAGACUCGUUAAACGGGGGCACCAAAUGAACCGCCGAUGAGCAGUUCGCUCUCGCAGCCUGAUCUGAUCAGUCUGUAGAAGAGUCAUCGUGACCAGAAAUGGCGCACGGGGCCUGAUCCUCACAGCCCGGCAACAGAAGUGAGGGUGGACCGCAGGGAAAGACCGCUGACAGCCGGCAAAGACCGCUGACAUCGGGGAAAGACCCGGCAGUUGAGAAAGUCCUCUCGUAGGGCCGAUCAGCCGACCCGCCGGUGCCACGGCUGUAAGUGGCAGAGUCGGGAAUGGUCGUAGCGGGUGUGCCAACCACCUGGCGGACGGGGGUUCGAUUCCCCCCAGCUCCACUC
rnacentral:tmRNA from 1 species